GGAUGUGAGAAUGAUUUGGCUGUGAUGUCUGUCAUCCCACUGAUUUAGGGGGCUGAUUCAGAAGGUGUGGCUGGCUAGGCAAGUGGAUCCCUUCUGAAGUUAUGUGCCCAAUAAAAAAGAACAACCUUCUUCAACAGGAGAACUAUUCUUCAGUCAAGAGUAUAUGAGUAGCUACACUCCCCUGACUAGUAACUCCAAAUAAGCUCUCAAAAUACAUAGAUCAUAGUUUUUUUUUUUCCUGAAUCAAUAUUAUCAUUCUUAUCUCAAACUAUAA
rnacentral:snRNA from 1 species